UGGACUAGCUGACUUGGGCUGCCUUCAUUCUUCUUGGGCCGGCUCCAACAUCAUAUGAUAUGAAUCAGCCUGCUCCACUUCAGGUAAAUCAUUAGCCCCUUUCUCACGUGCUUUAAUCCUUAAUUUCUCUUGCUCAAUCCCUAAGAUUCACAAUUCUUCCCCCAAUUCUUCCUCGUUUUCUCUCCAUUCUCCUUCCACCAUGACAAUACCCACCCCUCGAGAGUAUCCUUGUCCCCAAGGAUCAAAAGAAGGAAACUGUCCGCGGAGAACAGAGUAAUCCUCCCAAGUAUUGUUCGACUCGUCGAGGAGGAUCUGUCAAGGCUGUUGCUGUAGUGCCAAUAUGCUUCUUCAACAGACUGACAUGGAAGAUAGGGUGUAAUCGAGACGCUUCUGAUUCCUCCUCAGUGUAAGGGAUGUUUGACGAUACGGCUACAGUUUGAGAUACUGGACUAGCUGACUUGGGCUGCCUUCAUUCUUCUUGGGCCGGCUCCAACAUCAUAUGAUAUGAAUCAGCCUGCUCCACUUCAGGUAAAUCAUUAGCCCCUUUCUCACGUGCUUUAAUCCUUAAUUUCUCUUGCUCAAUCCCUAAGAUUUGCAAUUCUUCCCCCAAUUCUUCCUCGUUUUCUCUCCCUUCUCCUUCCA